rnacentral:misc_RNA from 1 species
UCUCCGUAGGUGAACCUGCGGAGGGAUCAUUACUGAGUGAGGGCCUCCGGCCCGACCUCCAACCCUUUGUCCGACUCUGUUGCCUCGGGGGCGACCCGGCCUUCGGGCCCGGGGCCCCCCGUGGUCCACUCAACUCUGCAUCUUUGCGUCUGAGUAAACAUUAAAUGAAACAAAACUUUCAACAACGGAUCUCUUGGUUCUG